UUUGUAAGGGUCAGUAGAGGGACAAGAGCACUGGCAACUUUGAAGUCACCCUCUCUAGAGGGUCUUCCGUCUUAAAUAUCUUUCUCCAGAGGUCUGAAAUGAUGUCAUCAGCAGUUCAUAUGGAGGUCUUGAAGCCUUUUUUUAGUGUUCAACAUCUCAUGGUAAAAUAAGAAUAUACCAGAUGACUGGGAUGCUGUUGAUAGACUGUGGAUGCCGGAUGUGGGUUUUGGGAAGGAUUCCAGCAAAGGAGCAGUGAAGGAGAGGAUGGAAAGGCACAGAUCAUCAGGUCCUUCCCUCUCAGCUCUGCCCAGGCCCAGCCUUGAAGCGCCUUGCACUGGGCUUACAGGAAGAAGGGUGGAGUUUUGCUUCUUCCUUGGUGGUGCCUUCUUCCCAAACGUGAGGCUCUCCAUGGUCACAGGGUGGUGGUGAUUGCUUCAUGGUGCAAUGGUUGAGACAGCUGUCCUUCAAGACCCUUCUUUUGGCCUUUUAGUUGCUGCAACAUUUUGAUCAGAAAUUUCUGCUUUAAGUGUAAAGGAUGUGGUGCAAUUGGGGAAGGAAGUGUGGAGAACAAUCAAAACAAAACACCCCGGCCAUACUUCAGUAAAAUAGAACACAUUCCUGCCCCCUGCCCUCCACCAGAGUGUUUAACUUUUCCUCUUUUUUUCUUAGCUCUGACGCUAGUGUGGUGUAGAUUAUAACUCUGGUAUUUUUGUUUGUCAUCAUUUUCCUUGAACAUGAAUACAAAGAAGACUUCAACAGCAGUAAACUGAGUAGCCUGUAGCAAUGCUUUUGUAUUUGAAGUCAGAUUAAAUUUGUCCUCCAAAAAGGUUUCUACUCCUUCUCCCUCUCCCUCUGCUUCCUUCCCUGGACUGCUGCCCCCAGCACUGCAGCCUGUCCCCACACCUCCAGGAUGUUAGCAGUUUUUAGGGAACAAGAUUUGCUCCCUUCUUUUCAUGAGAUUGUUGAAGACUGAAAAAAACCCUUAAGACUCCUCAAAAUGAAUUUCUGACCAGUGGGGCAGAUUUUAUGAGGCAGGAGACCCUCCCAGUUUCCAGUAGGUCAGUCUCUAUAAUGAAUGAGAGUUCUGCAUGUGAAUGAAGUAGAGGAUGCUGAGGGAAGAAUCAGGAUGAUUCCAUAUGGACAAAUGGAAACAGAGAUAGACUCCUGGAAAAAUAAGAAAUAGGCAUCACACUUUAUUCUGGGUCAAAUAGAAUAUUACAUAUUCUAGGAAAGAAAUGAUCUAGCUAAUUAUUUUAAAACAGUUUCACUUACAAAGUUCCAUUUUAUCUGAGUGAUAGUCAUUUCUUUUUUUCUCUUUCUAAGUGUGGAAGCGGAAUGUAUAUCAAUGUAUGGCCCCUAGCAGGAGAGUGGUCACAUGGGAGGGUGUGAAAAAUGCCUAUUCUGGUUGCAGUGUGUGUAUUCGUGGGUGGUAGAGAAAUAACCAUUAACGAUGUGAAGGAAAACAAAUACCUUGACUAAAUUUCGUGUCAUUCUUUGUGAUGUUGCAAUUCUCUUUAAAUAAAUAACUAGAACACUUCCCAAAAGAAACUGAAUGUACGUUGUGAAGGAUAAUUAAGACUGUAGAUCAAACGCAAAAACGACACUUUGGAAGAAAAUAUUUUUAGAAUCUGCACCACGCUCCUUUCAAUCUCUGGCCCAAAUGACAAAGAUGAUUUUGUAAAUGCAUUCAUGUGGGCCUAACAACUUGUUGGAAAGCCUGCCUGAGUUGGAUGGAUAUAAUAACAGAACUGCAAAUUAUACCCUUACACAAGAAUACAAAGCAGCCACACCUGUGGCUUCAUGGAGUAUUUGCUUCGUUCGGGAAAGGGGGAGGAAGCUUGAGUCUGGUUUACAGAUGUCUCUGCUGACACCAGUUGGACAUGGACCACUGAGGUCCCAGCAAAGCCAUCUGCCCUGCGGUUGAAGGAUAAGGGAGAUCCUCCCAGUGGACAGCACUUUGAACAGUCCACCUUGUGGUCCAUUUUGCCUGGAAGGAGAGAAGACCUGAGGACUGACAGCAAGGAGGUUUGGGAAGAGUCGGGUGGGUGAUACUCUUGAACUAGGCUUCAGAAUGUGUCCCUCAUGAGUGCUGCUCAAGGAGCAUCUACUCCAGAGGCGAGUCUCUGUAAAACAGUGGAUAUGGUGAGCUGCUCUGUGGAUGUCCCUCAGCCUUCUCCCCAGCUACGCCAGUGCUUGCCUGAUGUUUUGUGAACAAAGUAGGAUUCAGGGCUGGAGGCUGUACAUGCAUUCAACAAUAAAAUGUCUUCUUACAAAGACUGGCUUGGUCAUUGGCCCCUUUGAGUGCCAAGUUUUCUAAGCAAUGCCCAAUCCUGAACAUUUCAUAUGGUACCACACCUCAAGUGAGGUGUGGAGGGAUUAGCCACCUUUUUGGACCCCUUCUGACCCAGCAGCACCAACUGUGGAAUACUGAACUACCAGGACCUGGGUCACUUUUUGGAAACAAUAGCAGGGCUCAGUGAAUGGGGCAGCUUGGCUUUCUAGAAGGAGUUAUUUGUUGCCCUGACUGAUUCUGCUCCAGAGAACCAUCCACAAAGCACUUGAGACUGUGAAGAAUCCACGAUAGUUUCCACCACCAUUCUCUAGGUCUUUUGAACUACGUGAACUGGUGAUAACCUUUGACCGGUAGGACUAAGAGAUGAGUGUUCACCAUCAUCUCCUAUGGGUUUCUAUUCAUUCUCGUCCCGGUCUACCUAUGUGGGAACGACCAUGUCUUGCUAUAGAGCAUUGAGUGGUGAAUUGUAAAGGUGUUUUAGGCUAUACAUAUGCUCUUCCUCAAAGAAGAGGCUUGGAGGGCAGAGAAUCCAGUUGGUUCUAUGGAAGACUUUGCUUAUCUUUAAUAUGCCCUACACAAUGCUGGUUCUUUUGCAUAAUAUUAACUUGUUAAUCCGGGGAAUGAUUACAUAUUCUGUGCCUUAAAAUUUUUUUUAUUUAUUAAAUUUUUAUUAAAAUAGGUAUGUCAUAAAGUUUACCAUUUUAACAAUU